GCGCCUGUAGCUUAAUUGGAUAGAGCAGCAGACUUCGGAUCUGCGGGUUGGGGGUUCGAGUCCCUCCAGGCGCACCA
rnacentral:tRNA from 1 species